AAACACGAUAUUAACAACGCGAAAACGCGAUAUUUUUGCUUCGUGUUUUCGUGUGAAAGUAUCGCGUUUUCGCGUAAAAAUAUCGCGUUUUCGCGAUUUCGCCCCUAGGACGACAACGCGAAACUGCGAUGGCCCCAACGGAACACCGUACAUAUGGAAGUAAUUGGAAUAAAUUCGGAAGUUUACAUGACUGCUGUCAAAAGGCCUCCCUCGUGUUUACAUAUUUUGACAGGUCGAGUUGUUCUUGGACUAGGAACAAUGAUGAAUGAAUAUCUGCACCAUGGAACCAGUGUCAUUUGCAAACUGUUUGAACCUGUGCUGGGCGUGCACAUUGACAUUUCUUAUUCAACAGGAAUACAUGAUGUCGACCAACAGUACAGCUAGAUGAAGAAAUAAAUUUAUCCGAAGAAAUAAUGGGACAAUGUCAAUGCUAAAAUUGCCAAAAGAAGACUGCCAUAUUUACACACCAUUUUAUACAGGUA